UACGGGGGGGGUAAGCGUUGUUCGGAAUUACUGGGCGUAAAGGGCUCGUAGGCGGCCAACUAAGUCAUACGUGAAAUCCCUCAGCUUAACUGGGGAACUGCGUGUGAUACUGGAUGGCUUGGAUUUGGGAGAGGGAUGCGGAAUUCCAGGUGUAGCGGUGAAAUGCGUAGAUAUCCUGAGGAACACCGGUGGCGAAAGCGGCGCGCUGGGUCCCUUCUGACGCUGAGGCGCGAAAGCCAGGGGAGCAAACGGG
rnacentral:rRNA from 1 species